UCAUAAUAUUUUAAAGUCAAAUACAAAUUUAUGUCCCAGAAAGAAUACAUGUGUCGACCUGGUUGACUUCUAGGGCAUACAUCUAACACUUUUUCCUUGGGUAGCCAUACCUACUGGGAACUAUGUUUAUAGUUCUUACCCCGAUAUUUUUUAGGUCCAUCCGCGAGUGACGUGGCGGAGCGAGUAAAGGGUAUAGCUGAGUAGUUAGCGUCUUUCCACUUUGGUUGUUAUUUUUCUAGUUGUACCCUGUUUUAGAACAAUGUAAUGAAAAGAAAAAGAGUAAAGCUCAUUUUGGGUUGUGUAAUGGAAACAAAAGAAAAUUCUUGUAUAAAUUUGAUUGAGAAAGAUGUAAA
rnacentral:lncRNA from 1 species